rnacentral:misc_RNA from 1 species
CACCAUUGGUGCUUCUCUUAGCUUCUCUAUCAUUGUUCUUGACAAGCAAGGAAAGUUCAAAAAAACAUUUUAGAAGCAGCUCAGAGACAUGGGUCCUCAAGUUGUUCAAUAUUUCACAAUCUUCCUCUUCUAUCUUUUCUUCAGCUCAGGUUCAAGUGUUGCAGAAACACCUCCUCUGGAACGAAUAGCAGACAACCGAGAAAAUCAAAUGAUUUUCUCAUCUCCAGUGUUCACCACUCAACUAGACACUACGGGAACGGUUCCCAUUGUGAACCCAACAACUCCUGGAACAACAAGCCCUAUUGCAAAUCCGAUAGAGUCACCUCCAGCACCAACUGUAGUAACGACGAACCCGCCAACACCCCCAGCCACUACAACUCCAAUGCCCCCAGCCACUACAACUCCAACCUCAUCAGGAGGAUCAUGGUGUAUUGCAAGUCCAACUGCUUCAGAAACUGCUUUACAGGUGGCUCUUGACUAUGCUUGCGGUUAUGGCGGUGCAGAAUGUUCAGCAAUUCAACCAGGUGCGAGUUGUUAUAACCCAAACACUGUCCGGGACCAUGCUUCUUAUGCCUUCAAUGAUUACUACCAGAAGAAUCCAAUUCCUACCAGUUGUGUCUUCGGCGGAACAGCACAACUUACAAACACUGACCCAAGUAAGAUGUAGUUGUUAAUGCAUAAUCAUUUAAUUCAUCUUUGAUUGCUGCGGAAGAUCUCACAUAACUUUGCAGACAUGCUGUCCUAAGGUGUUAGAAGCCUAGACUCACAGCUGUCAGCAACUCACUAUAUGAGAGUUUCUGAAACUCAUAAUGAUUUUCCUGAGUGAUUUCCUGACUUCUCUAUUUGCAUAUUCCAGGUAAUGGCAACUGUCACUACGCAUCGUCCAAUUCAACACGCAGCUUAAGCCCACCAACCCCAACAACUCCAACCACUACAUCCACUACACCAACAACGAUGACUCCACCAAUAACAACCACACCUAGUGGACCAACAAUUUUCGGCGUGGCAGAACCAACUGGCUUGCCCAGCUCAGCCACCUCUGUUUCAAUCAGUUUACUGCUCUUCUGUUCCACAGCAGCUAUU